UGGAAACUGAUAAUUAUGAUCUUAUUUAUUUUAAAUGACUGGUUAAAGCUGCAUUAUAACUUAUCAAUUAGAUGUACGGACAUUACGCUAACACCAAGAGCAGGCAUCCAUACACCAGGUCAGAAUCCUAAGUGCAUUUAGUGAAAGAGUGAGAUAAAUGUGAUACAAGCACUUACAAAGACCUGCCAAAAUGCAGGCUAAGGAUAGGAACAAUGAAGCAAAAAAAUCCAUUGUCCAUACUAAUGUGACAAUUGUAGUUUGUGAUACAAAACCAGCUGAAGGCUGUGUUGUUAAAGGAUAGCUGCCUGUAGCAAGCUGGAAGGUUUGAAGAUGAAAUGGACAUCAAGCUAUGGCAUUAAUGGACUGCAAUGCUACAGAAAUGAAGUUCCUUUGGCUGGAAUUCAGCAGCUCCCUUUGUCAUCGUUGACCAUGAAUGGAUGAACUUCAUGUAGAUGAUGCCCAUUUCCCAUCUUUGAAUCAAACAUUAAUACCAUUUGACAGUAAUAAAUAACAUUUAUCACAAUAGGGAUCUACUAAUGAUUUUCCCACUAAGCUGGCUCAUCAGAACCUAUCAGCUGACAACUGCAUAAAUGAGAUUAGCAUAACAGCUGCCUAUGACAAAUGUAUCUAAAUCAUUUUAAUGCCAGCUAGCUCUUUGAUCUCCCUAUCACGUUGUUGCCAAAACUAAAUCCAUUUCUUCAAGAUACAUGUUGUUUAUUACAGAUACAUGUGUAUAUUCCACACCAUUAUGUACUCCAGAGAUUUCAGUAAUUAAAAGAAUUAAAAAUACUGAUUGGAUACUGCCACUAUAAUGUAAACUUGCAACUCUGCACUUCAGAACAGCAUUCCACUGCCUACUUAGUCCCCUCCUCCUUCUCCAGAUUGCAGAAUUCAGUGUUUAAUAGCUGCAUGUUUCUCUGACACAAAAUACAUGUUUUAACGUAAAUACAUGUAUUAACUUCUCUUUCUGAGUAUCCCUUACAGCGGCAUCAUUUUCAUACAAUUUAGACUAAUUCCCAGUAAUAUAGGAGUUGGCUCCAGGCAAAUAUUGAAGCAACGAGUCAUUGCGUGUGUUUGUAUGAAUGCAAGACUGACAAAGAAAAUCUCACUGGUAGUGCAGCAUUCAUGUUGUGACUGUUAUUAAAGGGUUGCCUAUGAGAUUGUCAUACAAUCUCAUGACAACAGACUUCAGACAGACCAAUGACAAUAGCACUUCCAUAACCACACUUCUAAAAG
rnacentral:lncRNA from 1 species